UCACCUUGAACCAAACAGCAGUACCAUGACUUCCCAGUGUAACGGGCUGUAUUCUCUGAAACCAUGAGCUGAAGUAAACCUGACCAUGAAGUUGCUCCUGUUGGGUAUUCUGUCAGAACCACAAGAAGAGUAAUGUAUUCUUCUGGUUGGCACAAUGAAAUUUGGAAGUGGAAAUCCUAAUCAAGAUAAAGCUUCAUUUGUUCUUCUUUGAUAAUUUGCCAGUUGAAACAAAAUAUGUACCCAGAAUGCAUCACUUCUCCCUGCCUCAAUCUUUACCUGCAGAAAAACAGAGUUUCAUGUGGCAGCUCCUCCCUCAAGGAAAAAGAAAUCAGCAAACAAGAGAUUCCAAUCAGGCAGCUUUCCCCACACUACCCUUCCCCUAAUUAAUGACCAUCAUGACACAAAGGUUGGGAUACUUGCCAGUUGUUAGCUUCAACUUUGCGUUGUUUCUCAACAUAGAUGCAACAAACAGUUCAAGACUUGCUGGAGUUUCAAGGCAGAAAACUGAAGCCAAAAUCCUCAGUAUAUUAAAACCAUCCCUGCAACAGUAAGCUCCAACUGGGCAAUAAACGGACUGUUCCUGCUGUUUCCUCUAAGCCGCUCCUGGAGGAGGCUGAAAUCGCAGCCCCCUCAAAGAGGAAGCCCCAGCUUAGUGAACAAGGGGAAGGAAUGCGCUGACCUCCAGAAAUGGACAUAAGCCUUUCCUCUGAAGGGCUUCCUUCCACUGGGACUUCCUGACUCCAGAAGCCUGGAAUAGUGGGAUUCCUGUGAGGGGAGGGUAUUCCACAACUGCACAUGGAAACAACUAGAAAGCUCUUGCAACAGUACUUAGAGCAAGGCAAGGACCAGACUAAGCUUCUCUUUCUGCACUUCACCUCCCUCAUCUGCAUACAGGCUUUCUUUUUGUUUGGUUUUUGUUGUUGUUGUUUCAAUUUUUGUCAGUUUGUUUGUUUGUUUUUUAAAGACAGAGUCUCAUGUAGCCCAGAAUAGCCUCAAAUUUGUUACGGGGCAAAGUCUAGCAUUGAAUAUUUGAUGGUUCUGCCUCUGCCUCCUAAGCGUUGGGAAUACAGAUGUGUUUCAGCACACCCAGCCACUAGGAUUCCAGUGGCUCUAUGAGGAUCAACACUGUUUGUUUGAAAGAUUAAAUGAGCUAAAAAUAUUACCUGAAUCACUGGGAAGUCUUGCCAGAAGUUUGUAGCUGGCAUCAUAUUAACAUAUUUUUGACAUUAUAAUUGUUAUGUAGUUCUAUAGUACUUAGAGUAUGGUGUGUAAUUGUGCGAGGUGCUAGAGGCACAAGUCCUAGGGACCUGUGUCUGUGAUGGCUGUGGUCUGCAUUUGGCUUUUCAGGAACCCCCCGCCACCUGAAUUCUGCAGUGGCUGCUCCAGUCUACAGUCCCACCAGCAGUGUAUGAGGGCUCCCCUUUGCCCAAAUUCUCUCCAGCACUUAAUACAGUUUGCUUUUUGAUGCUAGGCCUUCUAUAUGGGGUGAGAUAGAAGCUCAAAGCAGUUUAAAUCAACAUUUCUAUGAUAACUAUGGAUAGUGAGUGUUUUUUUUCAAAGAUUUGUGGGCUAUUUGUAUUUCUUCUUUGGAGAAUGUUCUAUUCAAUUAAUUAGCCAAUGCAUUGAUUAGAAUGAUGACUAGGGAGUGGUGUUUAAUUUUUGGAGAGGUAAAGAGUAGUACAUUUGAUGUGAAAGAAGGGGGGCUAUUUAGCAGGAGGAAGGGAAGCGGGAAGAGGUAGGAUGCGGAGUAGUCUUGGAAGGAGACAGAAAAUGACAAUGGGGGAGGGAGUUGGAG